GUUGGUUAAAAAUCAUCCCAGCUUUGGAUGUGGCUGUGGGUGAGAUUCUGUGCCCAGAGCCACCAGGGGCCUCAGCUCACCUCCCACUGCUUUGGUGUCGGAAGGUGAAACCCAGGCCUCUGUAGGU
ensembl:snoRNA